GGUGAGAUGGCCGAGCGGUCUAAGGCGCCAGACUAAGGUCUCAAGAUAUUCGAGGCAAAAUCUGGUCUCUUUGGGGGCGGGAGUUCGAAUCUCCCUCUCAUCA